AGAGUUUGAUCAUGGCUCAGGAUGAACGCUGGCGGCGUGCUUAACACAUGCAAGUCGAGCGAAGCGAUUUAGCGGAAGUUUUCGGAUGGAAGUUGGAUUGACUGAGCGGCGGACAGGUGAGUAACGCGUGGGUAACCUGCCUCAUACAGGGGGAUAACAGUUAGAAAUGACUGCUAAUACCGCAUAAGCGCACAGUACCGCAUGGUACGGUGUGAAAAACUCCGG
rnacentral:rRNA from 1 species